rnacentral:pre_miRNA from 1 species
GUAGUACUCCCUCCGUCCCAAAAUUUUUGUCUUAAAUUUGUCUAGAUACGGAUGUAUCUAAUACUAAAACGUGACUUGAUACAUCCAUAUUUAGACAAAUCUAGGACAAGAAUUUUGGGACGGAGGGAGUACAUG